rnacentral:rRNA from 1 species
UACGUAGGGCGCAAGCGUUGUCCGGAAUUAUUGGGCGUAAAGAGCUCGUAGGCGGCCUGUUGCGUCCGCUGUGAAAUCCCGGGGCUCAACCCCGGGCGUGCAGUGGAUACGGGCUGGCUGGAGGCAGGCAGGGGAGAACGGAAUUCCUGGUGUAGCGGUGAAAUGCGCAGAUAUCAGGAGGAACACCGGUGGCGAAGGCGGUUCUCUGGGCCUGUACUGACGCUGAGACGCGAAAGCGUGGGGAGCAAACAGG